rnacentral:lncRNA from 1 species
UCCGAUGGUUAUGUAUCUACUGGCCGUCUUGCUAUCAGAAUGCUGUUCAGAACAAAGAAACUUUGCUUGAGACUGUCAGUGCACGUUAGGGAGAAAAAACUUCUGCUGCAAACAAACUAGUAUCUUUUCAUAAUCACAUACACAUUUCUGUUCAAACUAUAAUGUUGGCUUGUUUAUUUGCUUAUUACUUCUUCUUUGCUAUCAGACUGUUGUCGAGACCAAAAAAAACAACAAAAAGGUGCUAAUGCAAGCACUAAGAGUGCUCAUUGUGGUUCCCUGAGCUGGUUGGGUGCUAGUGAAUUAUCUGUAAGAGUGCUCAUUCAUUUGUUUCUAUUUUUUUCAUAUGGUUACUUUGAUUUUCUCUAACAGCCAGGAACUAAAGUAUUCUUGAAGAGCCUAAAAACCCAUAACAGGGAUGUAGCUCUUGCUACAAUUGUAAGUUGUGAUCCUGAAUUUAACCUUGAUGGUGCUGAAAUUAGGAAUGAAUUCUGGGCGGUGCAUGUUGAUAUGGCACUUGUGAAAACUGAAUAUUUGGUGGGGAGUCGCGAAAACUGUAAUACUCUCGGUAAUGUAGAAAAAACAAAAAUUGCAUGGCCCUCAACCUUUGUACAUGACUAAUAUCUUGCCUCUGUUAUUACUUGCAUCAUGUCAAUGCAUUGUUUGUUAACAGUCCAUUUUGUUUUCUUUUUUUGUAGAUUCAAAAGAUAAAUGGAUGAGUAUAUGGGUGCGUGUCAAGUGUACUACAACGAUGAUGUUGAUGUUCUGCCUCAUGAUGGUGACAAUGAUGGAUGCUUCCAGUUUUAGUUAUGUUGUGGGGAUGACCUUCCUGUUGGAUGUCGUUCCUCGAUCAAGUUUUAGUUAAGUUGUAGGGAUGUUGAUGGAUUCUUUCAGUUAAAUUUCACUGUCAAGAAAAUAGUUAGAUUAUGCUUCACAUUUGGAUGAUGUUCCUUUUGUAAUAUCCACUAUUGUAAUCCAACAAUUUUAUCUCAUAUAUGAUAUAUGAUUUCUUCCUCUUG